rnacentral:rRNA from 1 species
UAGGGAAUCUUCCACAAUGGGCGCAAGCCUGAUGGAGCAACGCCGCGUGAGUGAAGAAGGUCUUCGGAUCGUAAAACUCUGUUGUUAGAGAAGAACAUGCAGGAGAGUAACUGUUCUUGUAUUGACGGUAUCUAACCAGAAAGCCACGGCUAACUACGUGCCGG